rnacentral:rRNA from 1 species
GCUCAGGAUGAACGCUAGCGGCAGGCCUAAUACAUGCAAGUCGAGCGGCAGCAUUCGCCUUCGGGCGAGAUGGCGAGCGGCGCACGGGUGCGUAACGCGUAUGCAACCUGCCACCGAGCGGGGAAUAGCCCGCGGAAACGCGGAUUAAUGCCCCAUGGUCCCUUAGGUCGGAUUCGAUUAAAGGGUAAAGCUGAGGCGCUCGGUGAUGGGCAUGCGUCCAAUUAGCUAGUCGGCGGGGUAACGGCCCACCGAGGCGACGAUUGGUAGGGGCCCUGAGAGGGUUGUCCCCCACACUGGUACUGAGACACGGACCAGACUCCUACGGGAGGCAGCAGUAGGGAAUAUUGGUCAAUGGGCGCUGGCCUGAACCAGCCAUGCCGCGUGCCGGAAGAAGGUCUUUGGGCUGUAAACUGCUUUUCUACCGGAAGAAAAGGGAACUGCGGUUUCUAUUGACGGUACCGGAGGAAUAAUCACCGGCUAACUACGUGCCAGCAGCCGCGGUAAUACGUACGGUGCGAGCGUCGUCCGGAAUCACUGGGUCCACCGGGUGCG